rnacentral:rRNA from 1 species
UACGUAGGUGGCAAGCGUUGUCCGGAAUUAUUGGGCGUAAAGCGCGCGCAGGCGGUCUUUUAAGUCUGAUGUGAAAGCCCACGGCUCAACCGUGGAGGGUCAUUGGAAACUGGGGGACUUGAGUGCAGAAGAGGAAAGCGGAAUUCCACGUGUAGCGGUGAAAUGCGUAGAGAUGUGGAGGAACACCAGUGGCGAAGGCGGCUUUCUGGUCUGUAACUGACGCUGAGGCGCGAAAGCGUGGGGGAGCGAACAGG